UUUCCGUAGGUGAACCUGCGGAAGGAUCAUUAAAAAUGAAGCCGGGAAACCGGUCCUUCUAACCCUUGAUUAUCUUAAUUUGUUGCUUUGGUGGGCCGCGCAAGCACCGGCUUUGGCUGGAUCGUGCCCGCCAGAGGACACAACUCUGUAUCAAAUGUCGUCUGAGUACUAUAAAAUAGUUAAAACUUUCAACAACGGAUCUCUUGGUUCUG
rnacentral:misc_RNA from 1 species